rnacentral:rRNA from 1 species
UACGAGGGGGGCGAGCGUUGUUCGGAAUUAUUGGGCGUAAAGGGUGCGUAGGCGGUUCCGCAAGUCCUGUGUGAAAUCUUCGGGCUCAACUCGAAGUCUGCACGGGAAACUGCGGGGCUUGAGUGUGGGAGAGGUGAGUGGAAUUCCCGGUGUAGCGGUGAAAUGCGUAGGUAUCGAGAGGAACACCUGUGGCGAAAGCGGCUCACUGGACCAUAACUGACGCUGAUGCACGAAAGCUGGGGGAGCAAACAGG